GGUGCUUGGAGCGGCGGGGAGACACCCGGUUCCAUCUCGCACCCGGCAGUUAAGUCCGUCAGCGCCGAUGGUACUGGAGGGGCAGCCCUCUGGGAGAGUAGGUCAGCGCCAAAC
rnacentral:rRNA from 1 species